rnacentral:rRNA from 1 species
GUGCCAGCAGCCGCGGUAAUACGUAGGGUCCAAGCGUUGUCCGGAAUUAUUGGGCGUAAAGAGCUCGUAGGCGGUCUGUUGCGUCGGUUGUGAAAACCUGGGGCUCAACUCCAGGCCUGCAAUCGAUACGGGCAGACUAGAGUUCGGUAGGGGAGACUGGAAUUCCUGGUGUAGCGGUGAAAUGCGCAGAUAUCAGGAGGAACACCGGUGGCGAAGGCGGGUCUCUGGGCCGAAACUGACGCUGAGGAGCGAAAGCGUGGGGAGCGAACAGGAUUAGAAACCCCCGUAGUCC